UUUUUUUUGGGAAAAAACCUCGGCUUAUACACGAGUAUAUACGGUACUUCAGUCCAUCUUUGAAUAUCAUUAAAUUUCUUUAUGGGGAAAAUUUCUCAAUAAUUGGCCAAUUACGUUAUGCCGGAUAUAUUUCAAUAGUUCAUAAGAACAUCAUGAUAGAUUUACUCAUUUUAUCUGGCAACAAAAGAGAAGGCUCUCUAUGGUAUGUGUGAUCUGGUGCAUGUAUCACAUUUCUGUGCGCUGUGUUGUCGCAUCCAUUCUUUUGUGGCUUUACCUAUAUUUUCCUAUAAUUUGCUAAAUGUUUAUAUUAUAUAUAGCAUUAUUGAAUUACAUGGCGCCACCUAUUAUUUAAAAUGCAUUCAUUUUAAGUAGAAUCUUGAUUUGAUUUGUUCUAUAUUUCCACUGAUGAAAUUUUGCCUGUGUGUGCACUGCACUUUGUCAUGUGACUGUAUUGUCUUGGCGAGAUUGGGACAUAAAUUUGACCAGCUGUAAGCACUGUAUGGGUUCCAACCCCUCUAAAAUAGGUCCUAAUUCCAAAGUGAUUAUAUAAAACUGAAAGGGAAACAUGGAUGAGGGUGACAACCCUUUACAAUGCCUUCCAAAUAACAGUGGCAUUUGACAGACCUGGACCAAGUCCUUGUAUGCCAGUACUGUGUUUUGAUUGCCAUUUAUAUAUAACUGUUCUUUAAUGCUAGGCUCAAUGCAAUGCCAUUCUAUUAUCCCUUUUCCAUGCCACUAGAAUUAUUCACUUAAGCUGAUGCUACGAAAAAUUCAGCAGACUAGUAAAAUAUGCUUUGCUGGAGCAUGAAAAAGGAGAAUGUGAUAGUCGACCACUGAAAUGUUGAAGACAAGCCAGUCUACAACAAUGUUCAGUGGCCAACAUCAACCAUUGACAUACAUCCAUUUUAGAUUUGCUCCUGCUCCACUGAACUUGUUGCUAGGCUGGAAUGUUUUGCUGACCCAAUCAUAUUCCAUGCUUCAUUUAGCCAACAAUUACAUAUUCGAGUUGUUUCCGGCCUUUCCAGAUACUGAUGCCAGCAUGUCCUGCGAUACCCAUCCGAUGUGUUCCAUAUGCUCUUUGUCAAACUGAUAUCCUGGACUGAGCAAUGCUGACUGUACGACAUUCUUGAUAAAGCUACCAUAUAAUUUAUUUGGGGCUGCAUUUAUUGCCCUGUUGAAAUGCUGGGAAGAAAACUUCAAGUGAAUCUCUCACCAGAUUGAUCUGUUGACUGACCCAACUGACAAUGAUCUUAUAUAUUUGUUACAUCUUGAUCUUAUAUAUUUGUGAUUUCUUUUUCUAGUCUAAGGACUUGAGAUCAAAUUAGGAUCCACUCCUUCGAAAAUUUCUUAUAUGUUAGGCCAAUUGAUUUUGGUUUGUUUAACAUUGCAAUUUCCAGGAACAUAAUUAAAUGAGGACCUGCUGCAACUUACAACUGCAUGCAUACGAAUUCAUACACAUUGAUCUAAUAUAGUACUAGAUGUAAAUAUUUUGUCAUCUGAGAGAACAUUAGAAAAUGACAUCCUCUCUCUUUUUCACUCACACACAUUAAUACAUACACGGUGCAUCAGCUAAAUCCAGAUAAAAUAGACAAUUUUAUUUAACAAAAAGAAUAGAAUUAUCGAAAUUAUCAUUUGCAUAUUAAUUUGAGAUUCCUUUAGAUUAAAAUUA
rnacentral:lncRNA from 1 species